GACGAACGCUGGCGGCGUGCUUAACACAUGCAAGUCGAACGGUAAGGCCCUUCGGGGUACACGAGUGGCGAACGGGUGAGUAACACGUGGGUGAUCUGCCCUGCACUUCGGGAUAAGCCUGGAAACUGAGUCUAAUACCGGAUAGGACCACUGCCUGCAUGGGUGGUGGUGGAAAGCUUUUGCGGUGUGGGAUGGGCCCGCGGCCUAUCAGCUUGUUGGUGGGGUGAUGGCCUACCAAGGCGACGACGGGUAGCCGGCCUGAGAGGGUGACCGGCCACACUGGGACUGAGAUACGGCCCAGACUCCUACGGGAGGCAGCAGUGGGGAAUAUUGCACAAUGGGCGCAAGCCUGAUGCAGCGACGCCGCGUGAGGGAUGACGGCCUUCGGGUUGCAAACCUCUUUCAGCACCGACGAAGCGCAAGUGACGGUAGGUGCAGAAGAAGGACCGGCCAACUACGUGCCAGCCGCCGCGGUAAGAC
rnacentral:rRNA from 1 species